UUUGUCUUAAAUUGUCAUUUUAUUGGAAGAUGGUAAAAUUAGUUACCAAAUGAAACUGUAGCUUGGUAAUAAUCCUAAAUUACACAACAAAUUUUAAUGAAAGCUUGUUCAAAAGUGAUCAAUCAAAUAACUCUAAAGGCAGAGUAAGAAUGAGAAACUUGACUGGCCAACAGAUUCAGUUCACUAAAUGAAACCUGAACUUUUCUUUUUAAGAAAGGUAAACUGAUUUCAACAGCAGGACAGAGAGAAG